rnacentral:rRNA from 1 species
CGAAAGCCUGACGGAGCAAUACCGCGUGCGGGACGAAGGCUUUUGGGUCGUAAACCGCUUUUGUUAGGGAAGAAGAACUGACGGUACCUAACGAAUCAGCAUCGGCUAACUCCGUGCCAGCAGCCGCGGUAAUACGGAGGAUGCAAGCGUUAUCCGGAUUUAUUGGGCGUAAAGCGUCCGCAGGUGGUUUAUCAAGUCUGCUGUUAAAGCGUGGGGCUUAACCCCAUAUAGGCAGUGGAAACUGAGAGACUAGAGUACGGUAGGGGUAGCGGGAAUUCCCAGUGUAGCGGUGAAAUGCGUAGAUAUUGGGAAGAACACCAGCGGCGAAGGCGCGCUACUGGGCCGAAACUGACACUCAUGGACGAAAGCU